rnacentral:rRNA from 1 species
CCUACGGGAUGCAGCAGUGGGGAAUAUUGGGCAAUGGGCGCAAGCCUGACCCAGCAACGCCGCGUGAAGGAAGAAGGCUUUCGGGUUGUAAACUUCUUUUCUGAGGGACGAAGAAAGUGACGGUACCUCAGAAAUAAGCCACGGCUAACUACGUGCCAGCAGCCGCGGUAAUACGUAGGUGGCAAGCGUUAUCCGGAUUUAUUGGGUGUAAAGGGCGUGGAGGCGGGAAAGCAAGUCAGGUGUGAAAACUCAGGGCUCAACCCUGAGCCUGCCUUUGGAACUGUAUUUCUGGAGUGCUGGAGAGGCAAUCGGAAUUCCGGGUGUAGCGGUGAAAUGCGUAGAUAUACGGAGGAACACCAGUGGCGAAGGCGGAUUGCUGGACAGUGACUGACGCUGAGGCGCGAAAGCGUGGGGAGCGAACAGGAUUAGAUACCCUGGUAGUC